rnacentral:misc_RNA from 1 species
AGCAGCCGCGGUAAUUCCAGCUCCAAUAGCGUAUAUUAAAGUUGUUGCAGUUAAAAAGCUCGUAGUUGAACUUCAGGCCUGGCUGGGCGGUCCGCCUUCCGGGUGAGUACUGCCUGUGGUCGGGUCCUACCUUCUGGCGAAGCGUCAUGGCCUUAACCGGCCGUGGCGGGGAACCAGGACUUUUACUGUGAAAAAAUUAGAGUGUUCAAAGCAGGCACGCGCUUGAAUACAUUAGCAUGGAAUAAUGGAAUAGGACAGUGGUUCUAUUUGUUGGUUUCUAGGACCGUUGUAAUGAUUAAUAGGGAUAGUUGGGGGCAUUAGUAUUCAAUUGUCAGAGGUGAAAUUCUUGGAUUUAUUGAAGACUAACUACUGCGAAAGCAUUUGCCAAGGAUGUUUUCAUUAAUCAAGAACGAAAGUUAGGGGAUCGAAGACGAUCAGAUACCGUCGUAGUCUUAACCAUAAACUAUGCCG